rnacentral:rRNA from 1 species
UGCAGUCGAGCGGACAGAUGGGAGCUUGCUCCCUGAUGUUAGCGGCGGACGGGUGAGUAACACGUGGGUAACCUGCCUGUAAGACUGGGAUAACUCCGGGAAACCGGGGCUAAUACCGGAUGGUUGUUUGAACCGCAUGGUUCAAACAUAAAAGGUGGCUUCGGCUACCACUUACAGAUGGACCCGCGGCGCAUUAGCUAGUUGGUGAGGUAACGGCUCACCAAGGCAACGAUGCGUAGCCGACCUGAGAGGGUGAUCGGCCACACUGGGACUGAGACACGGCCCAGACUCCUACGGGAGGCAGCAGUAGGGAAUCUUCCGCAAUGGACGAAAGUCUGACGGAGCAACGCCGCGUGAGUGAUGAAGGUUUUCGGAUCGUAAAGCUCUGUUGUUAGGGAAGAACAAGUACCGUUCGAAUAGGGCGGUACCUUGACGGUACCUAACCAGAAAGCCACGGCUAACUACGUGCCAGCAGCCGCGGUAAUACGUAGGUGGCAAGCGUUGUCCGGAAUUAUUGGGCGUAAAGGGCUCGCAGGCGGUUUCUUAAGUCUGAUGUGAAAGCCCCCGGCUCAACCGG